UCGAACGGCAGCACGGACUUCGGUCUGGUGGCGAGUGGCGAACGGGUGAGUAAUAUAUCGGAACGUAUCCAAUAAUGGGGGAUAACUAAUCGAAAGGUUGGCUAAUACCGCAUACGCCCUACGGGGGAAAGCUAGGGACCUUCGGGCCUGGCGUUAAUGGAGCGGCCGAUAUCUGAUUAGCUAGUUGGUGAGGUAAAGGCUCACCAAGGCGACGAUCAGUAGCUGGUCUGAGAGGACGACCAGCCACACUGGAACUGAGACACGGUCCAGACUCCUACGGGAGGCAGCAGUGGGGAAUUUUGGACAAUGGGCGCAAGCCUGAUCCAGCCAUUCCGCGUGAGUGAAGAAGGCCUUCGGGUUGUAAAGCUCUUUCGCAAGGGAAGAAAACUUAGCCUCUAACAUAGGCUGAGGUUGACGGUACCUUGAUAAGAAGCACCGGCUAACUACGUGCCAGCAGCCGCGGUAAUACGUAGGGUGCGAGCGUUAAUCGGAAUUACUGGGCGUAAAGCGUGCGCAGGCGGCCUUAAAAGUCAGAUGUGAAAUCCCCGAGCUCAACUUGGGAACUGCGUUUG
rnacentral:rRNA from 1 species